CUACCCAUUUCUGCGGAAUAGCUCUGGGAAACUGGAAUUAAUACCGCAUACGCCCUACGGGGGAAAGAUUUAUCGGGGAUGGAUGAGCCCGCGUUGGAUUAGCUAGUUGGUGGGGUAAAGGCCUACCAAGGCGACGAUCCAUAGCUGGUCUGAGAGGAUGAUCAGCCACAUUGGGACUGAGACACGGCCCAAACUCCUACGGGAGGCAGCAGUGGGGAAUAUUGGACAAUGGGCGCAAGCCUGAUCCAGCCAUGCCGCGUGAGUGAUGAAGGCCUUAGGGUUGUAAAGCUCUUUCACCGGUGAAGAUAAUGACGGUAACCGGAGAAGAAGCCCCGGCUAACUUCGUGCCAGCAGCCGCGGUAAUACGAAGGGGGCUAGCGUUGUUCGGAAUUACUGGGCGUAAAGCGCACGUAGGCGGAUAUUUAAGUCAGGGGUGAAAUCCCAGAGCUCAACUCUGGAACUGCCUUUGAUACUGGGUAUCUUGAGUAUGGAAGAGGUAAGUGGAAUUGCGAGU
rnacentral:rRNA from 1 species